CAGCCGCCGCGGGAAUACGUAGGUGGCAAGCGUUGUCCGGAAUUAUUGGGCGUAAAGGGCUCGCAGGCGGUUUCUUAAGUCUGAUGUGAAAGCCCCCGGCUCAACCGGGGAGGGUCAUUGGAAACUGGGAAGCUUGAGUGCAGAAGAGGAGAGUGGAAUUCCACGUGUAGCGGUGAAAUGCGUAGAGAUGUGGAGGAACACCAGUGGCGAAGGCGACUCUCUGGUCUGUAACUGACGCUGAGGAGCGAAAGCGUGGGGAGCGAACAGGAUUAGAUACCCCUGUAGUCCCUGUCUCUUAUAC
rnacentral:rRNA from 1 species